AUUGGGGGAAGGCUAAACAUGCAAGUCGAACGGGAAGGGUAGCAAUACCCCGAGAGUGGCGCACGGGUGAGUAACGCGUAUGCAACCUGCCUUUAACUGAGGGAUAGCCCAUAGAAAUGUGGAUUAAUACCUCAUAGUCCUUUUGAACCGCAUGGUUUAAAAGGUAAAGCCUUGGCGGUUAAAGAUGGGCAUGCGUGACAUUAGCUGGUUGGUGAGGUAACGGCUCACCAAGGCGACGAUGUCUAGGGGUUCUGAGAGGAUGAUCCCCCACACUGGUACUGAGACACGGACCAGACUCCUACGGGAGGCAGCAGUGAGGAAUAUUGGUCAAUGGGCGCAAGCCUGAACCAGCCAUCCCGCGUGCAGGAUGAAGGCCCUAUGGGUUGUAAACUGCUUUUGUACACCAAGAAAAUACAGGACGUGUCCUGCACUGACGGUAGUGUAUGAAUAAGCAUCGGCUAACUCCGUGCCAGCAGCCGCGGUAAUACGGAGGAUGCAAGCGUUAUCCGGAUUCAUUGGGUUUAAAGGGUGCGUAGGCGGCCUUUUAAGUCAGUGGUGAAAUCCUGCCGCUUAACGGUAGAAUUGCCAUUGAUACUGAAAGGCUUGAGUUCAGUUGAGGUAAGCGGAAUGUGUAGUGUAGCGGUGAAAUGCUUAGAUAUUACACUGAACACCAAUUGCGAAGGCAGCUUACUAAACUGACACUGACGCUGAUGCACGAAAGCGUGGGGAGCGAACAGGAUUAGAUACCCUGGUAGUCCACGCCGUAAACGAUGUUCACUCGCUGUUUGCGAUACACAGCAAGCGGCCAAGCGAAAGCAUUAAGUGACCACCUGGGGGAGUACGAUCGCAAGGGUUGAAACUCAAAGGAAAUUGACCGCGC
rnacentral:rRNA from 1 species